UCAGGUUACCAGUUAAAAGAUUAAAAAUGAUUUAAAGAUAAAGUUGUAAGCUAAGAAAAUGAAGAAGAGAGGAAAGUUCCAGAAGGAAAACUGCUUUGUCCAAUAGCGGCUCUCAUUUCUGUGACUGACUCUCCAAAGAGCCAGUGUUAGCAGCACCUCCAUAAGUCCCGCCCACAGGCUGCGCCGGCGCUGCUGCACUGCCAGCGUGAGUCAGAGGAGGAGAAAGAGUCAGAGAGAGAGAGCCAGUGAGAGAAGCAGCUGUGAGAAAAUAGAUCGAAUACAAUAAAUACUUUGAAUAUAUCUGAAGUUAUCACCUUGGCUGGGUUUUUUUGUUUUUAUGUUUCUUCCUACGUGAUCUGCGAGAGUUUCCUGUUUUGUGCCAUAUUUAAUCCUUUUGGAAGAGGAAUCGUCUGUGUAUCGGACGCAGUUAAACGUGCACAAUGGCGAGCUACCCACGGACCUGUUUCCACUUUGAAUUGUGCUUUGAAACCAUCAACUGGUAGGAGAAUUCCAUUUUUUUCCCUUGUUUUUUUGGACACAAGACUUUUAUUCGUCGAACACAUUUGAUAUUUUUGCUUCAAAAAGGAGAGAUUAUCUUUUGAACUUGAACUAAUCGAAAGAGUUCAACGACUCUUUGAACUGAAUAAUUUGAUUCACAGACUUUGGUCAACUGAGUCGUUUGAUCCAUGAACUUUGUUCGAUUGAAUCAUUUAAGAGUUUCGUGCAUUUUCAACUCGUAUUGUUGAUCAUACUGUUGAAUUUGAAAAGGAAAGUGAUUUGUUUUAAUCAACUCUAAAUCAUAUUCAGUGUUUUGAGUCAAACUGAAUAUCCAAUUAUAUUUCCUUUUGGGUUAUUGAAUAUAAUAUUUUGUUGAAGGUUAUAUUAUUGUAAAAUACCUUGCUUAAAGUGAAAGAAACAGGCACAUUGUUUUUUGAUAGUUUUCUUUAUUUUUACAUUUUGUGAAGAGUGUGAAACUUCAAAUUGAAUUGAAGCUGUCAAGUUGUUGAAUUCUUGGCCCUAUAAGAAGUGACAUAAGAGUUGGUUAACUGUUUUGAUCCUCACUGUUACCAAUCAAUUGUUCUUAUACAAAAAAAGAGAAACUUUUCCUAUAAAUACAAUUUACUAAAUCAAA